rnacentral:rRNA from 1 species
AGAGCUCACGGAGAAUGCCUUGGUACGAGCAGCCGAAGAAGGACGCGAUAAGCGGCGAUACACUGCGGGGAGUUGCAAAUAAGCCUUGAUCCGCAGGUUUCCGAAUGGGGCAACCCCACUGGAGUAAUGUUCAGUGACCAUUAUCUGAAUACAUAGGGUAAUGGAGGUAAGCCAGGGAACUGAAACAUCUUAGUACCUGGACGAAGAGAAAUCAAAUCAGAGAUUCCCUUAGUAGCGGCGAGCGAACGGGGAAGAGCCUAAACCUGACAUAUGUGAUAGCUGACAGGCGUUGUAUGUUGGGUGUUGUGGGAACUCCAGUCGAGACUGUCAAUCGACAAGAAGUUACAAAACCUUAGCUAGUCAAAGGCAGCUGGAAAGCUGUGCCAUAGAGUGUGAUAGCCACGUCGACGAAAGCGAACGGACUUCUGGAGGUUUCCCGAGUAGUACGGUGCACGUGAAAUACCGUAUGAAUCCGCCAGGACCAUCUGGCAAGGCUAAAUACUGCUCGUAACCGAUAGUGAACUAGUACGGUGACGGAAAGGCGAAAAGAACGGUGGAAAGCCGAGUGAAAUAGAACCUGAAACCGUGAGCUUACAAGCAGUUAGAGCCCUAUUGUAUAGGGUGAUAGCGUGCCUGUUGAAGAAUGAGCCGGCGAGUUACCUUCAGUAGCAGGUUAAGGGGUUAAUACCCGGAGCCAAAGCGAAAGCGAGUCUGAAUAGGGCGAAUAUUGUUACUGGAGGUAGACCCGAACCCAGGUGAUCUAACCAUGGCCAGAGUGAAGCGUAGGUAAUGCUACGUGGAGGCUCGAACCCACGAAUGUUGAAAAAUUCGGGGAUGAGUUGUGGUUAGGGGUGAAAUGCCAAUCGAACCUGGAGCUAGCUGGUUCUCCCCGAAAUGUGUUUAGGCACAGCGUCGUAUUUAUCUUACCGGGGGUAGAGCACUGAUUCGGUGCGGGCCCUAGAACGGGGUACCAAAUCGAGCCAAACUCCGAAUACCGGUAAAGUGAUUGUACGGCAGUGAGACUGCGAGAGAUAAGUUCCGUAGUCAAGAGGGAAACAGCCCAGACCAUCGGCUAAGGUCCCUAAUGUAUGCUAAGUGAUUAACGAGGUGUUAUUUCAUAGACAACCAGGAUGUUGGCUUAGAAGCAGCCACCAUUAAAAGAGUGCGUAAUAGCUCACUGGUCAAGAGAUAAUGCGCGGAAAAUGAACGGGGCUAAAGCAUACUACCGAAGCUAUGGCAAGUACCUUAUUGAAGGUAUUUGGGUAGGGGAGCGUUCUGUUGUAGGUUGAAGUAUGACCGAUAAGGACAUAUGGACGAAGCAGAAGUGAGAAUGUCGGCUUGAGUAGCGAAAACAUUGGUGAGAAUCCAAUGCACCGAAAACCCAAGGUUUUCCACGGCAGGCUCGUCCGCGUGGAGUUAGUCGGAACCUAAGGCGAGGCCGAAAGGCGUAGUCGAUGGACAUCAGGUUGAUAUUCCUGAACCACUAUAUAACCGUUAUCAACUGCGGAGGGACGCAGGAGGCUAUGUACGCCAGCGAAUGGAAGAGCUGGUCUAAGCGUGUAGCAAGUUCGUGUAGGAAAAUCCGCACGAGCGUUAUGAAGUGAGACGCGAUGGGCAGGAGCUACGGCUCCGAAGGUAUAGACGCCACACUGCCAAGAAAAGCUUCGCGAGUGAGGAUAUAUAGUGUCCGUACCGUAAACCGCCACAGGUGGGUAGGUAGAGAAUACUAAGGUGCGCGAGAUAACCCUCUCUAAGGAACUCGGCAAAAUAGCCUCGUAACUUCGGGAGAAGAGGUACCCUGGUAGCGUGUACAGUCUAUACGGCUGGAAGCGUGAUAGGGUUGCAACAAAGAGUCCCAGGCGACUGUUUACCAAAAACACAGGUCUCUGCUAACUCGCAAGAGGAAGUAUAGGGGCUGACGCCUGCCCGGUGUCGGAAGGUUACGGGGAGAGGUUAGCCGUAAGGCGAAGCUUUGAACCUAAGCCCCGAUGAACGGCGGCCGUAACUAUAACGGUCCUAAGGUAGCGAAAUUCCUUGUCAGGUAAGUUCUGACCCGCACGAAUGGCGUAACGAUCUGGGAGCUGUCUCGGAGAGGGGCUCGGUGAAAUAGGAAUGGCUGUGAAGAUACGGCCUACGCAUGCCAGGACAGAAAGACCCUAUUGAGCUUUACUCUAACUUGUCAUUGAGAUUUGACUUUAUAUGCGCAGCAUAGGUGGGAGACUUUGAAGCAGGAAUUUUGGUUUCUGUGGAGUCAUCAUUGAGAUACCACUCUUAUAAAGUUGGAUUUCUAACAGUUUGCCGCACAAUUCCGGCGGCUGGACAGUGGCAGGCGGGGAGUUUGACUGGGGCGGUCGCCUCCUAAAAAGUAGCGGAGGCGCCCAAAGGUUCCCUCAGGCCGGAUGGAAAUCGGCCAAAGAGUGCAAAGGCAGAAGGGAGCUUGACUGU